ACUUGCACAUCGAUCACCUCUAUAUCUUAUCAUAUGGCUAAAAUCAAUAUGUCUUCAUCUCAAUUAAUAUACUCAAAAUGAUUCUGUACAACUUCAUACCCAAUAGCAAAUAUAAUUCAACCUCGUAAUUGUAACACCCUAUGUAAUACCCUAAUUUUGCCCGGCCCAAAUCAAAUAAAUAAACAAAUUAUAAAAAAACAAAAAAACAAAGUUAUUAAAAGUCCAUCAGUCCAGCAAACCCAAAAUACAAGCUAAGUCCAUUUACAGAUAGCCCAAUAACCCAAACAGAUCCCAAAUACCCACUUAACCUAGCCCAAACCAAAACCCAAUUAACCUAGCCCAGCUAAUGUGGAAAUAGAAAACCCUAACAGUAUCCAG
rnacentral:lncRNA from 1 species